UAGGGAAUCUUCGGCAAUGGGGGCAACCCUGACCGAGCAACGCCGCGUGAGUGAAGAAGGUUUUCGGAUCGUAAAGCUCUGUUGUAAGAGAAGAACGUGUGUGAGAGUGGAAAGUUCACACAGUGACGGUAACUUACCAGAAAGGGACGGCUAACUACGAGCCAGCAGCCGCGGUAAUACGUAGGUCCCGAGCGUUGUCCGGAUUUAUUGGGCGUAAAGCGAGCGCAGGCGGUUUAAUAAGUCUGAAGUUAACGGCAGUGGCUUAACCAUUGUUCGCUUUGGAAACUGUUAAACUUGAGUGCAGAAGGGGAGAGUGGAAUUCCAUGUGUAGCGGUGAAAUGCGUAGAUAUAUGGAGGAACACCGGUGGCGAAAGCGGCUCUCUGGUCUGUAACUGACGCUGAGGCUCGAAAGCGUGGGGAGCAAACAGG
rnacentral:rRNA from 1 species